rnacentral:rRNA from 1 species
GCUUACGGCCAUACAACCCUGAACACGCCCGAUCUCGUCUUAUCUCGGAAGCCAAGCUGGGUCGUGUCUGGUCAGUACUUGGAUGGGAGACCGCCUGGGAAUACCACGUGCUGUAAGCU